rnacentral:rRNA from 1 species
UACGUAGGGACCGAGCGUUGUCCGGAUUCAUUGGGCGUAAAGAGCUCGUAGGCGGCUGCUCAAGUCGAAUGUGAAAACUCGAGGCUCAACCUCGAGCCUGCAUUCGAUACUGGGCGGCUAGAGUCUGGUAGGGGGAUCUGGAAUUCCUGGUGUAGCGGUGGAAUGCGCAGAUAUCAGGAGGAACACCGAUGGCGAAGGCAGGUCACUGGGCCGCAACUGACGCUGAGGAGCGAAAGCAUGGGGAGCGAACAGG